GCUAAAAGGCCUUCAUUGAACAAAGUGGUGUUUGGACUUUUCUGCUCUGUUUUCUCAAAUUUGCAUGUUUAGAUUUUUAUUACCAGUUUAUGACCCAAGCCCGACUCUUUAGUGUUCUUUUUCUGUUUGUUCCUUUAUUUCUUAGAUUCUGACUGUAUUUACAGCCAUGUUUAUAAUUAAUUUAAUUACAGAAAUCAUUUUAGAAUAAUGCUUCUAUUAUUUUCAUCCAAAUGUUCCUUAUCUCCUCAAGAUAUGAAUUCUUUUUAACUAAUAUUGGUCCACUUCAAAUCACAAAGUUACCAGAUUCUUCACUUGAUACCCCAAUUCCUCCACAAUAGUCACAUUUAGCCCACCCUGCCAUGAAUACGAGCAAACGUCCUGAACGUGACGACAUUCUGUCUAAACAUUGAGGAGCAUUUGGAGAGCAGACAUCCAGCCGUGAACUUCAGAUGCUUCACUCGUCCACUGCCAGCUCUCACCACCAUCUGGUCUGAACAUGAGACCACUUUACUGCUGACACAUGGCAGGGGUCUUACAUCGUGAUGAUUGUUGUCCUGGCCCAACUGAGUCAGCAGGUAGACCUCUUCUCUUCUCUAUAAGUCGUUUCAUUAUUGUUAAAAAUGAGGCUUGAUGUGGCCAAGUAACAAUGAGAUUUAAUGAUGAAGUGAGCCUUGUGUGCCCACACAGUCAUAAGAGGGGCUCAGCACACCAGCCUGUGGAGUGACAGUACUGGGGGUCAGCUUGGAGGAUGUGACGCUGCCAUUCACACAUCCUGAGGUCUGUUGGUUAGGAAGUCCAAAACCCAACUGCAGUGGCACUGAGUCCUAAAUUGAGGAGUUUGGUCAUCAGGUCUGCCCGUCCAGCAGAAUUAAAUGCUGAGCUGUGGUCAGUAAACACGACUCUGACAGAACAGCAGGGCUUUGGACUUCAAUCCCAAUACUGACAUAUUGUGUCACUUCACCUGCCGGUGCUCCACGUGGAAAUACAAAAGAAAUAAACAAAUUGUGUCUUAAAUGUUGAAAGUCACCUUCGAUAAAGGAGUGAGCCAAACAGUAAGUUUAGAGGAGACUUGUGUUCAUACCGAGACGACACAAACGAUUGUCAGCAUUUGAUAAGUGAUGUGCGCUCGAUGUCCUGAUUUGUUCUGAUGUGAGGACCCCCUUGAUCAGGCCCUCCUCGGGGUCUCCAAGGUGUUUUAGUGUCUUCUAACUGUGAACAUUUCAGGAGCUGCUUGAACCUUUAAAAUGUCUUCCCCUUUGUUUUCUUUUAUCAGGAGCCCUGGUGGUCUCUUACAAGUAACGAUUCUUGUCUCCAGUCGUCUUUCUUCACAUCCUCGGUGUCCGUGUUUGUGUUAAUAUAAACUGUUUCUGUCUCAGCCCCUUUUUGUGUCUCUUUGACUUUUUCCUUUUGUUAAAUACGUGUAUAUACAGUAUACAGUACAGUGGUCCGGAGCAGAGGGGGUCUCAGAGCAGGUCUUGAGCUUUGAAGGGGUUUUUAAGUUUGGAUUUAAUGGCUGUUUUGUUGUUCAAUCCACUGUUAUAAGGUUGGUGUUUUGUUAAACGUGAAUGUCUCGCAUUGCUGUCUUUAACUUUAAAAUAAUAAAAAACUAAUCAUGUAAAAAAAAAAUUCUCAUUUUUCCUGUUGAAAGUUCAGUGCCAUCACCAAGCCUUUAACAUACUUAUUGAGAAUUAGAGGACAGCUGAAUAGCUGAAGUCCAUAAAGUGUGUGUGUGUGGACAGCCGUGGUGUUGAGGGCACUGAAAUAGACAGCCUGAGCCUCCAUACUGUGAUGGGCACAGCAAGACGGUAAGUGGGGUCUGAUGGAAGGAGGCUUUAAUGGCAGCCUGCCCUCUAAAUGGUGUUGACACGCAGAGGAGCCUUUAGCACGAGGUGGCAGGACUCUGUGAUGGACAAUUUUCAUUUUGUUUAGAUAAGGAGCAGGCUGUGAAAUGUGGUGAAUUAUGUGGUGAGAAUAAAAAUGUGAUUAUUUACUGUGCCAGCUAUCACACAACUAGAAAUCAUCUUCUCAAGGGACAGAGGAGACAGACAGGGAUGGAAAUGCACUGCUAAUUUGUCAUCUACGCUGAAUCCUUACAGGGGAUACAUGAGAGUAGCAAGAGGAUAUGGAGGACUUGGAGGAUAUGGAGGACUUGGAUGAUAUGGAGGAGGGGGAUUUGGUGGAUACGGACAAUACGGAGGAUGAUGUUUCAGGACUUGGUAAAUUGGCCAAAAGGACCAAACCAGACCAAUCAUUGCCAAGAAAGAAGAAGUCAAAGAAUGACUAUUAGUUUAAAAUAAAACCAAACACAUUGCAGCAAACUGCCUGGCUCCUUA